rnacentral:miRNA from 1 species
AUUAUUCUGUGACACUUUCAG